AUACGUAGGUGGCAAGCGUUGUCCGGAUUUAUUGGGUUUAAAGGGAGCGUAGGCGGGAGCUUAAGUCAGCGGUUAAAUGGUGCGGCUCAACCGUGCCCUGCCGUUGAAACUGGGUUUCUUGAGAGUGCAAGAGGCGGAUGGAAUUCAUGGUGUAGCGGUGAAAUGCUUAGAUAUCAUGAAGAACUCCGAUUGCGAAGGCAGUCCGCUGGGGCACGUCUGACGCUGAUGCUCGAAGGUGCGGGAAUCAAACAGGAUUAGAUACCCUGGUAGUCCGCACGGUAAACGAUGAUUACCCGCUGUCGGCGGCAGACAGUCGGCGGCCAAGCGAAAGCGAUAAGUAAUCCACCUGGGGAGUACGCCGGCAACGGUGAAACUCAAAUGAAUUGACGGGG
rnacentral:rRNA from 1 species